rnacentral:rRNA from 1 species
UACGGAGGGAGCUAGCGGUGUUCGGAAUUACUGGGCGUAAAGCGCACGUAGGCGGCUUUGUAAGUUAGAGGUGAAAGCCCGGGGCUCAACUCCGGAACUGCCUUUAAAACUGCAUCGCUUGAAUCCAGGAGAGGUGAGUGGAAUUCCGAGUGUAGAGGUGAAAUUCGUAGAUAUUCGGAAGAACACCAGUGGCGAAGGCGGCUCACUGGACUGGUAUUGACGCUGAGGUGCGAAAGCGUGGGGAGCAAACAGG